rnacentral:rRNA from 1 species
GACAGAGGGUGCAAACGUUGCUCGGAAUUACUGGGCGUAAAGCGCGUGUAGGCGGUCACGCAAGUCAGGUGUGAAAGCCCAGGGCUCAACCCUGGAAGUGCACAUGAUACUACGUGGCUGGAGUACUGAAGAGGAGAGCGGAAUUCCCGGUGUAGAGGUGAAAUUCGUAGAUAUCGGGAGGAACACCAGUGGCGAAGGCGGCUCUCUGGGCAGAUACUGACGCUGAGACGCGAAAAGCGUGGGGGAGCAAACAGG